CCUACGUGAGGCAGCAGUGAGGAAUAUUGGUCAAUGGGCGCGAGCCUGAACCAGCCAAGUAGCGUGAAGGAUGACUGCCCUACGUGUUGUAAACUUCUUUUAUAAAGGAAUAAAGUGAGGCACGUGUGCCCUUUUGUAUGUACCUUAUGAAUAAGGAUCGGCUAACUCCGUGCCAGCAGCCGCGGUAAUACGGAGGAUCCGAGCGUUAUCCGGAUUUAUUGGGUUUAAAGGGAGCGGAGAUGGGUUGUUAAGUCAGUUGUGAAAGUUUGCGGCUCAACCGUAAGAUUGCAAUUGAUACUGGCAGUCUUGAGUACAUGUGAGGUAGGCGGAAUUCGUGGUGUAGCGGUGAAAUGCUUAGAUAUCACGCAGAACUCCGAUUGCGAAGGCAGCUUACUAAACUGCCACUGACAUUGAGGCUCGAAAGUGUGGGUAUCAAACAGGAUUAGAUACCCUUGUAGUC
rnacentral:rRNA from 1 species